AUUUUUCUUUCUUCUAUAUCAAAGAAGAAAUAAUUUCUAUUACAAAAACUUGGAAAUUUGAAGGUUGAAUUGCAUCGAUUAAUUUGGUUUGGUUUCCUUGGAAUCGUUUGCUGAUGAAAAGAGUUUAAGGGAGACUUGAGGGAGUAAGCUUUCUUAAGCUUGGUGCAUUGAUCUUUUGGGGUCAAACUCAGAGAAUUUGGAACUUGUCGAUUGACCGAACUCUACGGCCGAUCGGAAGCGAAAACAUUUCCGGACCAUCACAGUUGGUAUAAGAGCAUACAUUUCGAUUUCUUUGGAUAUGAUUUUUCUAUAGAGGAAAGAGAGAACUUUUCUUUGAAGGAGAAAAUAAAAAAGAUAACUGAUAG